UACGAAGGGGGCGAGCGUUGUUCGGAUUUACUGGGCGUAAAGGGCGCGUAGGCGGCCCGUUUUGUCAGGCGUGAAAGCCCUGGGCUCAACCUGGGAACUGCGCUUGGGACGGAUGGGCUUGAGAUCGGGAGAGGAGAGUGGAAUUCCCAGUGUAGAGGUGAAAUUCGUAGAUAUUGGGAAGAACACCGGUGGCGAAGGCGGCUUUCUGGACCGACACUGACGCUGAGGCGCGAAAGCUAGGGUAGCAAACGGG
rnacentral:rRNA from 1 species